CCUACGGGUGGCAGCAGUAGGGAAUCUUCCACAAUGGACGAAAGUCUGAUGGAGCAACGCCGCGUGGGUGAAGGAGGGUUUCCGCUCGUAAAGCUCUGUUGGUAGGGAAGAAAGAUAGAGGUAGUAACUGUCCUUUAUUUGACGGUACUUACUUAGACAGUCCCGGCUAACUACGUGCCAGCAGCCGCGGUAAUACGUAGGUGGCAAGCGUUGUCCGGAUUUAUUGGGCGUAAAGCGAGUGCAGGCGGUGCAAUAAGUCUGAUGUGAAAGCCGUCGGCUCAACCGGAGAAUUGCAUCAGAAACUGUUGAACUUGAGUGCAGAAGAGGAGAGUGGAACUCCAGGUGUAGCGGUGGAAUGCGUAGAUAUAGGGAAGAACACCAGUGGCGAAGGCGGCUCUCUGGGCUGCAACUGACGCUGAGGCUCGAAAGCAUGGGUAGCGAACAGGAUUAGAUACCCCGGUAGUC
rnacentral:rRNA from 1 species